rnacentral:rRNA from 1 species
AUUGAACGCUGGCGGCAUGCUUUACACAUGCAAGUCGAACGGUAACAGGUUAAGCUGACGAGUGGCGAACGGGUGAGUAGUGCAUCGGAACGUGCCCGGUCGUGGGGGAUAACGCAGCGAAAGCUGCGCUAAUACCGCAUACGAUCUGAGGAUGAAAGCGGGGGACCGUAAGGCCUCGCGCGAUCGGAGCGGCCGAUGUCAGAUUAGGUAGUUGGUGGGGUAAAGGCUCACCAAGCCAACGAUCUGUAGCUGGUCUGAGAGGACGACCAGCCACACGGGGACUGAGACACGGCCCAGACUCCUACGGGAGGCAGCAGUGGGGAAUUUUGGACAAUGGGCGAAAGCCUGAUCCAGCAAUGCCGCGUGCAGGAAGAAGGCCUUCGGGUUGUAAACUGCUUUUGUACGGAGCGAAAAGGUCUCCUCUAAUACAGGGGGCUCAUGACGGUACCGUAAGAAUAAGCACCGGCUAACUACGUGCCAGCAGCCGCCGCCG